rnacentral:lncRNA from 1 species
GGAAGGGCUCAGUGUCAGCCUCUGCCUGACUUCCCCACUUGUCCCCUGACGCAACCUAACUAGGACCUGGGGCAGCAGGGUAAGAACCUCAGCCUGCAGGUCGUGGCCCCAGCCUGUCGGAGGGAUUCCAGCCAAGAACUCAGACUGCACUCACCUCCUCUGGGCACAGGGUCAGCCACUCUUCUUCAGCCCCAAACUCACAUCUCCGGAUGCACAGCUUCCCACAGGCGGCUUGAUCCUCAUUGAAUUCAGAUUUCUCUGCAUUGAUAAUCCUGAGGCCGGGAAAUGAGAUGGAGUCUCACCAUGUUGUUGUCCAGGCUGGUCUCAAACUCCUAGGCUCAAGAGAUCUUCCCACCCUGGCCUCCCAAAGUGUUAGGAUUACAGGCAUGAG